AACGAACGCUGGCGGCAUGCCUAACACAUGCAAGUCGAACGAAGCCUCGGGCUUAGUGGCGCACGGGUGCGUAACACGUGGGAAUCUGCCCUUCGGUUCGGAAUAACAGUUAGAAAUGACUGCUAAUACCGGAUGAUGACGUAAGUCCAAAGAUUUAUCGCCGAAGGAUGAGCCCGCGUAGGAUUAGGUAGUUGGUAGGGUAAUGGCCUACCAAGCCGACGAUCCUUAGCUGGUCUGAGAGGAUGAUCAGCCACACUGGGACUGAGACACGGCCCAGACUCCUACGGGAGGCAGCAGUGGGGAAUAUUGGACAAUGGGCGAAAGCCUGAUCCAGCAAUGCCGCGUGAGUGAUGAAGGCCUUAGGGUUGUAAAGCUCUUUUACCAGGGAUGAUAAUGACAGUACCUGGAGAAUAAGCUCCGGCUAACUCCGUGCCAGCAGCCGCGGUAAAAAUGCGUACU
rnacentral:rRNA from 1 species